UACGUAGGGUGCGAGCGUUGUCCGGAUUCACUGGGUGUAAAGGGAGCGCAGGUGGGUUGGCAAGUCAUUGGUGAAAUUCUCAGGCUCAACCUGGGAACUGCCAAUGAUACUGCUGGUCUUGAGUACGGGAGAGGAAGACGGAAUUCCUGGUGUAGCGGUGAAAUGCGUAGAUAUCAGGAAGAACACCGGUGGCGAAGGCGGUCUUCUGGCCCGUUACUGACACUCAUGCUCGAAAGCGUGGGGAGCAAACAGG
rnacentral:misc_RNA from 1 species